CAGUAGCCGCGGGAAUACGAGGGGGGCAAGCGUUAAUCAGAAUUACUGGGCGUAAAGCGUGCGUAGGUGGUGGUUUAAGUCCGUUGUGAAAGCCCUGGGCUCAACCUGGGAAUUGCGAUGGAUACUGGGCGACUAGAGUGCGGUAGAGGAUAGUGGAAUUUCCGGUGUAGCAGUGAAAUGCGUAGAGAUCGGAAGGAACAUCUGUGGCGAAGGCGACUAUCUGGGCCAACACUGACACUGAGGCACGAAAGCGUGGGGAGCAAACAGGAUUAGAUACCCCGGUAGUCCCUGUCUCUUAUAC
rnacentral:rRNA from 1 species